rnacentral:tRNA from 1 species
GGAUAUAGCUCAAUGGUAGAGUACUUGCUUAGCAGGCACAAGGUCCUGGGUUCAAUCCCCAGCACCUCCU